rnacentral:rRNA from 1 species
UACGAAGGGGGCUAGCGUUGCUCGGAAUCACUGGGCGUAAAGCGCACGUAGGCGGGUUGCUAAGUCAGGGGUGAAAUCCUGGAGCUCAACUCCAGAACUGCCUUUGAUACUGGCGAUCUUGAGUCCGGGAGAGGUGAGUGGAACUGCGAGUGUAGAGGUGAAAUUCGUAGAUAUUCGCAAGAACACCAGUGGCGAAGGCGGCCAUCUGGACGGCUAUUGACGCUGAGACGCGAAAGCGUGGGGAGCAAACAGGG